UUGCGGUAUCCUGACCGUGCAAAGGUAGCGUGAUAAAUCGCCCUUUAAUUGUGGGCCUGUACGAAUGGACGAACGAGAGUUUAUCUGUCUCUUCAGUAUUCUCUAAAAUUUAAUCAUCAGGUGAAGAAGCCUGAAUUGACCCAAAGGACAAAAAGACCCUAAAGAGCUUCGUUAACAAGAUACAUAAUACAUUAUAAUCUAUAAAGUAUUCUCUAUUAUUUUUAACUUAACUGGGGCGGUUAAGGAACAAUUUUAAUCUUCCAUUACAUAAAAUCAUAGACCAACAAGUCUCAAUCUCUGACCCUUCUAAGAACACAGAAACAAAGCUACCUUAGGGCUAACAGACUUAUCUUCCUCAAGAGUACACAUUGACAGGAAGGAUUGGCACCUCGAUGUUGGCUUAGGGAUGCAUAGGGGUAGUAGCAGCCCCUAAAGCAGGUUUGUUCAACCUUUUAAACCCUACAUGAUCUGAGUUCAAACCGGAGA
rnacentral:rRNA from 1 species